AUACGUAGGGGGCGAGCGUUGUCCGGAAUGAUUGGGCGUAAAGGGCGCGUAGGCGGCCCUGUAAGUCUGGAGUGAAAGUCCUGUUUUUAAGAUGGGAAUUGCUUUGGAUACUGUCGGGCUUGAGUGCAGGAGAGGUAAGUGGAAUUCCCAGUGUAGCGGUGAAAUGCGUAGAGAUUGGGAGGAACACCAGUGGCGAAGGCGACUUACUGGACUGUAACUGACGCUGAGGCGCGAAAGUGUGGGGAGCAAACAGGAUUAGAUACCCUGGUAGUCCACACUGUAAACGAUGAAUGCUAGGUGUAGGGGGUAUCGACCCCUUCUGUGCCGCAGUCAACACAAUAAGCAUUCCGCCUGGGGAGUACGGCCGCAAGGUUGAAACUCAAAUGAAUUGACGGGG
rnacentral:rRNA from 1 species